CGGUUUCUCAAUUUGAAAAAAAUCGCAAUCAUUUCUUGCUGGGGUCCUCGAGACUUUGAACUAUGACCGGGGUGGAAAUCCAAUUUGAUAGGAUAGACCAAUGGAAUGGAAGAAAGAAAGAAUCAAUUUGAAUAUGAAAAUAAACUUUAUGAAAAGUGAAAGGAUUUAUUUGAGAAAGCAACAAAGUAUAAAGCGAAUCUCUAUUAUAAUAUAUUGUCUUCCAAAUUUUGCUAUAAUUGACGAUUUUCUAAAGAUUUGCUUUUUAAUAGGCACAACAAUGUUGCAAUUUGCUUUAUCAAUUGAUUCUUUGAAAAAUAUAUGCAUUGUCUUGUCUUUAUUGAUCAGAUUCAUGGACAAGUUUGAGUCUAAAAAUUAACUUGAUCUAAUGUGAAGACCGGAUUCGUCACAUACAACCCAAUCUAAAACGUCAUUUGUACAUCCUUAGUUCCGGUAUAGGAGGAUUCAACAAUACUAAAGUUUGAGUGUUUUGCCACUUAUUCUAUUCAUUUACUUGAAAGAUUGAUCUAUGAAGUCAUGUAGUUGCCUUUGCUUGUUCCACCAAUCACUCCAUUAUCAAGUGCUAUUUUGACUAUCAGCAAAACGUACUGUAGAAUAAAAGUCCACGUAUUUGAAGGGCUCAAGUCAAUAAAAAAUUGAAGGCACCUUGAUUGCUUUAAUAUGAUAUAUGCCCCUUUGGACUCUCUCCAAGGUUACCAACAUUUUUUAACUAACUAAUACAACUCCUUUGAUUUUGGGUUCAUGUUGAAAGAGAAUAAUCCUUCUGUAGCUUUCUUGUGUCAAACGUAUUAAUAAAAAAAGGGUUAAUUAAGUGUUUAAUCCCUAUGAAUAUUCACAGUUUUGUUUUUAGCUCCUACAAAAUAAAAUCACGUUUUUUAGUUUCUAUGACAUUUUUCUUAAAUAUUUUAGGGAUCAAAAAUUUUGAUGAAAAUUUUUUACAGAGACUAAAAUGCUGAUGGAAAUUUUUUUUAUGGACUAAAAAUGUUGAAGGAAAAUUAUAUAGGAUUAAAAAGUGCGAUUUUAUUUUGCAAGGACUAAACAUAAAAUUAUGAAUAUUUAUAGUAACUAUUUAACCCAUAAAAAAAAUCCAAUACUUGGUCACACACUUGACACUUGCUUAGAAUUUAAAUGACUGGUUCUGCCGACUUACCUACCACAUUGAAGAAAAAUUGAACGGUACUAUGUUUCUGCCUUCAUGAAAUAAAAGAUGCUUAAUAUUAAGCACUGGUCAAGGGAUCAAUGGAACAUUGUAUAAGGACCAUUUACCAACUCAACAUCAAUAGAAAAGCAGAACUUUCCCUUCAAAAUGAUCAACAUAAUUAGGCCAGGUGUGUGAAAGGAGGGGACUGGACUGGAGUGGUCACCACUCAUUAAUGUAUCUGUUUUUUCUUUUUUGUAAGUUAUUCUUUUACAUAAGUAAACUUGAGGUCUCUUAACUUAAUUUUAAUUUUUCAGAUUUGUCAUUU
rnacentral:lncRNA from 1 species